rnacentral:rRNA from 1 species
GCUUAUCCGGAUUUAUUGGGUUUAAAGGGAGCGUAGGCGGACGCUUAAGUCAGUUGUGAAAGUUUGCGGCUCAACCGUAAAAUUGCAGUUGAUACUGGGUGUCUUGAGUACAGUAGAGGCAGGCGGAAUUCGUGGUGUAGCGGUGAAAUGCCUAGAUAUCACGAAGAACUCCGAUUGCGAAGGCAGCCUGCUGGACUGUAACUGACGCUGAUGCUCGAAAGUGUGGGUAUCAAACAGGAUUAGAUACCCUGGUAGUCCACACAGUAAACGAUGAAUACUCGCUGUUUGCGAUAUACAGUAAGCGGCCAAGCGAAAGCGUUAAGUAUUCCACCUGGGGAGUACGCCGGCAACGGUGAAACUCAAAGGAAUUGACGGGGGCCCGCACAAGCGGAGGAACAUGUGGUUUAAUUCGAUGAUACGCGAGGAACCUUACCCGGGCUUGAAUUGCAACUGAAUGAUGUGGAGACAUGUCAGCCGCAAGGCAGUUGUGAAGGUGCUGCAUGGUUGUCGUCAGCUCGUGCCGUGAGGUGUCGGCUUAAGUGCCAUAACGAGCGCAACCCUUAUCGAUAGUUACCAUCAGGUUAUGCUGGGGACUCUGUCGAGACUGCCGUCGUAAGAUGUGAGGAAGGUGGGGAUGACGUCAAAUCAGCACGGCCCUUACGUCCGGGGCUACACACGUGUUACAAUGGGGGGUACAGAAGGCAGCUACACGGCGACGUGAUGCUAAUCCCUAAAGCCUCUCUCAGUUCGGAUUGGAGUCUGCAACCCGACUCCAUGAAGCUGGAUUCGCUAGUAAUCGCGCAUCAGCCACGGCGCGGUGAAUACGUUCCCGGGCCUUGUACACACCGCCCGUCAAGCCAUGAAAGCCGGGGGUACCUGAAGUGCGUAACCGCGAGGAGCGCCCUAGG